rnacentral:rRNA from 1 species
ACGGAAGGUUCGGGCGUUAUCCGGAUUUAUUGGGUUUAAAGGGAGCGUAGGCCGGAGAUUAAGCGUGUUGUGAAAUGUAGACGCUCAACGUCUGCACUGCAGCGCGAACUGGUUUCCUUGAGUACGCACAAAGUGGGCGGAAUUCGUGGUGUAGCGGUGAAAUGCUUAGAUAUCACGAAGAACUCCGAUUGCGAAGGCAGCUCACUGGAGCGCAACUGACGCUGAAGCUCGAAAGUGCGGGUAUCGAACAG